GUGGUUUUUGAGAAGGGUAAAUUAGUUCAGGCUUAUGCUUCUUAUACUGUAUUGGAUCAGUUACACAGAGUAGAAGAUGUAAGCAUGUCUGAUCAUAUCAUUGUUAAUGUUUUAGAAGAGAUAUAAUAAAUGUGAGAAACAUGAUUAUGUCCCUCUAAACUUCUGGUUUAAGAUAAAGUAAUCUUCAGUUGGUAUUAACUGCAUGUACUGACUUCUAAAUUCUACACAUUGAAGUCCGCUUUGAAUAGAACAUCUGCAU
rnacentral:lncRNA from 1 species